ensembl:lncRNA
GGAUUGAGUGCACCCUCAGUAAGUUUGCAGAUGACACCAAGUUGGGAGGGAGUGUUGAUCUGCCUGAAGGGAGAAGGGCACUACAGAGGGACCUGGGUAGACUGGAUUGAUGAAACAAGGCAAACUGUAUGAGUUUCAAUUGGGCCAAGUGUCGGGUCCUGCAUUUUGGCCACAACAACCCCAGGCGAUCAUACAGGCCUGGGGAGGAGUGGCUGGAAAGCUGCCUAAUGGAAAGGGACUGUGGUGUACUGAUGGACAGUCAGCUGAAUAUGAGCCAGUAGUAUGCCCAGGUGGCCAAGAAGGCCAAUGGCAUCCUGGCUUGUAUCAGGAAUGGUGUGGUGAGCAGGACGAGGGAAGUAAUUCUGCGCCUAUACUUGGCAUUGGUGAGGCCUCACCUCAAGUACCAUGUUCAGUUUUGGGCACCUCAGUACAGAAAGGACACUGACGUGCUGGAGCAGGUCCAAAGAAGGGCAACAAGGCUUGUGAAGGGCUUGGAGAAUAUGUCCUACAAGGAGAGACUGAAGGAACUGGGGCUGUUUAGUCUCGGGAAAAAGACGCUGAGGGGAGACCUUAUUGCUCUCUUCCAAUAUCUGAAAGGUGCUUACAGCAAGAGCGGGGUUGGUCUCUUCUCACUGGUGACAGGUGACAGGACGAGGGGAAAUGGCCUCAAGUUGCACCAGGGUAAGUUUAGGUUGGAUAUCAGGAAAAUCUUCUUUACAGAAAGGGUUGUUAAGCACUGGAAUAGGCUCCCCAAGGAGGUGGUUGAGUCACCAUCCCUGGAUGUGUUUAAAAACCUUUUGGAUGUGGUGCUCAGGGACAUGAUUUAGUGGAGGGUUGUUAGGGUAGUAUGGUUAGGUUGUGAUUGGACUCAAUGAUCUUUAAGGUCUUUUCCAACCUGAGCAACUCUAUGAUUCUAUGAUUCUAAAUCUCCCGUCUAGCUUGGUCCUUUUAGAACCAUUUCAAUGCUAGCUACUGAACUGAUAGUAGAAUAAAAUAAAUCAGUGAUUAACAAAUAGAAAUCACUUUGACCGUAACAUUCCAUAACAGUUAAUUCUCUUGACCAAUGUGCUUUAAUAACAAAAAGUGAGAAACUCUCCUUUUUCCUCUUUCACCCUCUAGGUCCACCAUCUAAUUGUCAUCAAGGCUAAAUCCUUCAAGAGAAAAAAGACUCAUCUGCAGUUUCCAUGUGCACCUAUUAUCUGAUUUCCUGCAGCUCAAAGGCAAAUCACUUUCUUACUUGUUCUGACUGUACUGAGUUGACCUUCAAUGCAUAUACUGGGUAGGUAUCAAUACAUGU